rnacentral:lncRNA from 1 species
GAACGACCAAUGGAUGUAGCUCCUGCAGGAGCCUGUGGUGUUAUGCUGGCAUUGCCAGCAGGAACAGCAGCAAGCGCCAGAGCUGUCCUCUUCACCGUGGGGUCUCCUCCACACAGUGCCACAGCCCCCACUUGUACUCAUAUGGUCCUUCGAACAAGAACCACCUCAGGUAAAGCUCACUUGUUCUAGUUCAGAACAUUAUGUGAUUAGUUCUGAUGACAGUGUAGUAAAUUCAGACAAAUCCCCUCACUUCUCUUGCCUUUGCUUUCUGUCCCUGUAAAGUGAUUAUAGCUGUUUACCUUCCUUAAAGGUUAUACGUCAGAAGUAAAUAUACAUGUUAGGGAGAACUUUGUAAGGUAAUAUAUACUAUAUGUAUAUUUACAUGUGUCUAUAUUCAGUAUAACAUUCAGUAAAACAUGACUUCUUCAUGAAAAUAGAUAUGCAUGACUAGUUUGUACACUACCUCACUCAUAAGACUUUUUUUUUUUUUUUGGUUUUUCGAGACAGGGUUUCUCUUUUAGCUCUGGCUGUCCUGGAACUCACUCUGUAGACCAGGCUGGCCUCGAACUCAGAAAUCCGCCUGCCUCUGCCUCCCGAGUGCUGGGAUUAAAGGCGUGUGCCACCACGCCCGGCUCAUAAAACUUUUUAAUUUACUUAUUGUGGUGCUGGAAAUUGAACCCAAGGUUCUCCCACAUGCUAGACAAGUGCUAUACCACUGAACUCUAUUCCCAGGUUCCUCCAGCCCCUCUCACGUGGAAAACCUUGAACUCCUGAUCCUCCUGCAUCUACCUUCCAAGUGUUGGAAAUGUAGGUGUAUGACUUGGCAUCCUCAAUGUGCCCCCGUUUAAAAAUCAUUUUGUAUAUAUGAUUAUUUUGCCUGCAUGUAUGUAUAUGCACCUUGUACCUGAUUAGAGUCCAAGGUGGUAGAAGAAGGUAUACAAUCCUCUGGACCUGGAGUUACAGACAGUUGUGAGCUGCCAUAUGGGUACUGGUCCCCUGGAAGAGCAGUGGAUGCUCUUUAACUACUUGGCAAUCUCUCCAGCUCCUCCCCCAGACACUUUUAAAGACAGGGUAUCACUAUGGAGUCCUGACUAACCUGGAAUUUGCUACAUAGGCCAAACUGGCCUUGAACUCUCUACUCCUACCUCCUUAGUGCUGGGACCAAAAGUGUGUGGCACCACACCUGGCUUAAUUCACUCCCCCACCCCUAACACACACACACACACACACACACACACACACACACACACACACACCUUUCUUUUUGGUGUUUCCCAGGCUGGCCUUGAGUUUACGGUACAGUCCAAGCUGGCUUCAAAAGUUGAGAUCCUCCUACCUCAGCCACCCAAGUAACUAGUAUUACAGCAUAUGCCAACAGAUUUGGUUUAAAUUUUAUUUUACGGGGCUGGAGAGAUGGCUCAGUGGUUAAGAGCACUGACUGCUCUUCUGAAUGUCCUGAGUUCAAAUCCCAGCAACCACAUGGUGGCUCACAACCAUCCGUAAUGAGAUCUGACGCCCUCUUCUGGAGUAUCUGAAGACAGCUACAGUGUACUUAGAAAAAAAAACUUUUUUUUUAAUUUUACUUUUGUGCUUCAGGUACCAGUGUUUGUACUUAAUCAUCCAUACUGUCUAAGUCAGCUACUAAUACUAAACACUAAGAAAGUAUUUGAAGGACUGGAGAGAUGGCUCAGAGGUUAAGAGCACUGACUGCUCUUCCAGAGGUCUUGAGUUCAAUUCCCAGCAACCACUUGGUGGCUCACAACCAUCUGUGAUGGAAUCUGAUGCCCUCUUCUGGUGUAUCUGAAGACAGCUACAGUGUACUUAUAUACAUAAAACAAAUAGAUCUUUAAAACAAAAGAAGAAAGUAUUUGAUUAAGGUUAGAGAGUUGGCUAGUGGUUAAGAGCAUUGCCUACUCCUCCAGAGGUUUAGUUCUCAGCAUCCACGUGGUACUCACAACUGUCUGUAACUUCACUCCCGGGGGAUCCAGUUCCUCUGUCCUCUGCAGGUGCCUGCAUCAUGUGUACAUACCCACACACAAAAUAUAAAACAGUAGAUUCUUUUUAAAAAGUAUUAAGUGUGGGUUUGAAGUGAUCAUGUGUCUUAAUUCUGUGUGCUGCUUUUUGUGUCCUCUAGGUUCUUGUAUUAUAAAUAAGUUUCUAAUCAGGGUUCUUAUAAAUUAAUAAGGGAAAGAGAUAAUAAAAGGUAGAACUAAAGCAUUUUAUGCAGAUAUUCAAAAAUACAGAGAGAGCAUUGGAAAUGUAAUUGAGGAGAAUACGUAAUAAAAAAAAAUACAGAGAGGACUCUAGGCUAGCCAGGUCUGCCCUCUCUGCAAACAAUACAAAGUAAAACAAACAAACAAAAAAAUAAAUAAAAUACUUCUAAAUCUUAAAUAAUAAACUACCAUUUUAUUACUUUUUAAAAAAUUCUCUCUGUUUCUCUGUUUCUCUCUUUUGUUUUUUUUUUCGUAUGGGAGGGGGGUGCCUGACUCUAGACCAGACUGGUUUUGAACUCUCACAGACCUACCUGCCUCUGCUUCCCAACUCCAAAGUGCUUGGAUUAAAGACAUUUGCCACCAGGGCUAACCAAGCCAGCUCAGUCAGUCAACAGGUUCUCCAGGUCUAGAUUGAGGAC